rnacentral:lncRNA from 10 species
AAACUUUUUGGGAAAGUUCCCCAAAACUUUGGGGAACUGUGUUCCCCUGAAGUUUGGAGGGUGAGGAGUGAAAGAGGUUGAGAAGAAUGAGCUGGCUGGGUUGGACAUUCAGAGGUGACAAUGGCCAGAUCAACCUUGAUGGAGUCUUGUUCUGUCACCAGGCUGGAGUGCAGUGGUGCGAUCUCAGCUCACUACAACCUCCACCUCCUGGGUUCAAGUGAAUCCCCUGCCUCAGCCUCCCUAGUAGCUGGGACUACAGGCACACACCACCACACCUGGCUAAUUUUUUGUAUUUUUUAGUAGAGACGGGGUUUCACCAUGUUGGCCAGGAUGGUCUCAAUCUCUUGACCUCAUGAUCUGCCCACCCCACCCUCCCAAAGUUCUGGGAUUACAGGCCUGAGCCACUGCACCUGGCUGCUAGUUCUUAAGAGGGAGGUAUGAGACGUAUGUAUAGACUAAGUGAAAGGAAAAUAUCUUGGGCCCCCAAAAUCACUAAGCUAAAAGGAAAAUUCAAGCUGGAAACUGCUCAGAGCAAACCUGCUUCCCAUUCUAUUCAAAGUCAUCCCUCUGCUCACUGAGGUAAAUGCAUAUUCUGAUUGGCUCCUUUGUAAAAGCUAAUUAGAAACUCAAAAGAAUGCAACUAUUUGUCUCUCACCUACUUGUGACCUGGAAGACCCCUCCCUGCUUCAAGUUCUCCCCACCUUUUUGGACAAAACCAGUGUACUUCUUACUGUAUUGAUUAAUGUCUUGUGUCUCCCUAAAGUGUAUAAAACCAAGUUGUGCC